rnacentral:rRNA from 1 species
UACGUAGGUGGCAAGCGUUGUCCGGAUUUACUGGGCGUAAAGAGCGCGCAGGCGGUUAUUCAAGUCGCGUGUGAAAGCCCCCGGCUCAACUGGGGAGGGUCACGCGAUACUGAUCGACUCGAAGGCAGGAGAGGGUAGUGGAAUUCCCGGUGUAGUGGUGAAAUGCGUAGAUAUCGGGAGGAACACCAGUGGCGAAGGCGACUACCUGGCCUGUUCUUGACGCUGAGGCGCGAAAGCGUGGGGAGCAAACAGG